UUUCCGUAGGUGAACCUGUGGAAGGAUCAUUAUCGUACAAAAUGUGAGGGGCAUGCGAGGGCUGUCGCAGACCCAAAAGUCGUGCACGCCCGAGUGUGUCCUCUUGCAUAAUAAUCCAUCUCACCCUUUGUGCAUCACCGCGUGGGCACCCUUCGGGAUCAUCUCGGAGGGGGGCUCGCGUUUUCACACAAACCCCCCUUUUAAAAGUGUAGAAUGACCACAUUUAUGCAAUCAAUACAACUUUCAACAACGGAUCUCUUGGCUCUC
rnacentral:misc_RNA from 1 species